rnacentral:rRNA from 1 species
ACGAACGCUGGCGGCAUGCCUAAUACAUGCAAGUCGAACGAACACUUCGGUGUUAGUGGCGCACGGGUGCGUAACGCGUGGGAAUCUGCCCUUGGGUUCGGAAUAACAGUUAGAAAUGACUGCUAAUACCGGAUGAUGACGUAAGUCCAAAGAUUUAUCGCCCAAGGAUGAGCCCGCGUAGGAUUAGCUUGUUGGUGAGGUAAAAGCUCACCAAGGCGACGAUCCUUAGCUGGUCUGAGAGGAUGAUCAGCCACACUGGGACUGAGACACGGCCCAGACUCCUACGGGAGGCAGCAGUAGGGAAUAUUGGACAAUGGGCGAAAGCCUGAUCCAGCAAUGCCGCGUGAGUGAUGAAGGCCUUAGGGUUGUAAAGCUCUUUUACCCGAGAUGAUAAUGACAGUAUCGGGAGAAUAAGCUCCGGCUAACUCCGU